GUAUUAAUGAAGAGUCUCAAGCAAUAGGACGAAACAGCUGUCCAGUAU
rnacentral:hammerhead_ribozyme from 1 species